rnacentral:rRNA from 1 species
GUAGGGUGCGAGCGUUAAUCGGAAUUACUGGGCGUAAAGCGUGCGCAGGCGGUUGUGCAAGACAGAUGUGAAAUCCCCGGGCUCAACCUGGGAAUUGCAUUUGUGACUGCACGGCUAGAGUGUGUCAGAGGGGGGUAGAAUUCCACGUGUAGCAGUGAAAUGCGUAGAGAUGUGGAGGAAUACCGAUGGCGAAGGCAGCCCCCUGGGAUAACACUGACGCUCAUGCACGAAAGCGUGGGGAGCAAACAGGAUUAGAUACCCUGGUAGUCCCACGCCCCUAAACGAUGUCAACUAGUUGUCGGGUCUUAAUUGACUUGGUAACGCAGCUAACGCGUGAAGUUGACCGCCUGGGAGUACGGUCGCAAGAUUA